rnacentral:misc_RNA from 1 species
GAUCAUUACUGAAGAACGGGGUAAGGUUGAGCUGGCUUCUAGGAGCAAUGUGCUUGCCUUGUCGCUUUUUCUACUCUCCACUGUGCACCUCUUGUAGGCUAUGAUAAACCCUCAGUCCCUUCGACUGGAUGGAGGACCUGCCGUUUGGCUUGCCCCUCACCCUUUCAUAGCCUAUGUCUACAUAACACACACUAAGUCUUAUUGAAUGGUAAACUUUGUUGGUCUUCACUGACCGAUAAAAACUAUAUACAACUUUCAGCAACGGAUCUCUUGGCUCUCGCAUCGAUGAAGAACGCAGCGAAAUGCGAUAAGUAAUGUGAAUUGCAGAAUUCAGUGAAUCAUCGAAUCUUUGAACGCACCUUGCACUCCUUGGUAUUCCGAGGAGUAUGCCUGUUUGAGUGUCAUUAACUUCUCAAACCUUUCAAGCUUUUUUUUAUAUAGCUUGUUAAAGGCUUUGGAUGUGAGGGUCUUUGCUGGUACCUCUUUUUUUGAGGGUCUCAGCUCCCUUGAAAUGCAUUAGUGGUUAACUUGACCCGCUUUCAUUUGGUGUGAUAGUUAUCUACGCCUUUGAAAUGGUCACUUUGCUAUCCGCUCCUAAACCGGGGUCUGUCUAUAGACGGACUCUCUUGAACCUUUUGACCUCAAAUCAGGUAGGACUACCCGCUGAACUUAAGCAUAUCAAUAAGCGGAGGAAAAGAAACUAACAAGGAUUCCCUUAGUAACUGCGAGUGAACAGGGAAAAGCUCAAAUUUAAAAUCUGGCAGUCAGUUUGGCUGUCCGAGUUGUAAUUUAGAGAAGUGUUACCCGUGCUGGACCGUAUACAAGUCCUCUGGAAUGGGGCGUCAUAGAGGGUGAGAAUCCCGUCUUUGAUACGGACUACCAGUGCUUUGUGGUGUGCUCUCGAAGAGUCGAGUUGUUUGGGAAUGCAGCUCAAAAUGGGUGGUAAAUUCCAUCUAAAGCUAAAUACAGGCGAGAGACCGAUAGCGAACAAGUACCGUGAGGGAAAGAUGAAAAGAACUUUGGAAAGAGAGUUAAACAGUACGUGAAAUUGCUGAAAGGGAAACGCUUGAAGUCAGUCGCGUUGGCUGAGAAUCAGCCUUGCUUUUACUGCUUGGUGUACUUCUCAGUCGAUGGGUCAGCAUCAGUUUUGACUGCUGGAUAAAGCUCAAGGGAAUGUGGCAUCUUCGGAUGUGUUAUAGCCCCUGUUCGUAUACAGCAGUUGGGACUGAGGAACUCAGCACGCCGCAAGGCCGGGUUUUUAACCACGUACGUGCUUAGGAUGCUGGCAUAAUGGCUUUAAUCGACCCGUCU